rnacentral:rRNA from 1 species
GAUGAACGCUGGCGGCGUGCUUAACACAUGCAAGUCGAACGAGAAGUGGAGACGGACACCUUCGGGCGGAAGACUUUAUUUCGAGUGGCGGACGGGUGAGUAACGCGUGGGUAACCUGCCUCAUACAGGGGGAUAACAGUUGGAAACGACUGUUAAUACCGCAUAAGACCACAGCACCGCAUGGUGCGGGGGUAAAAACUCCGGUGGUAUGAGAUGGACCCGCGUUCGAUUAGCCAGCUGGCGGGGUAACGGCCCACCAAAGCGACGAUCGAUAGCCGAUCUGAGAGGAUGACCGGCCACAUUGGGACUGAGACACGGCCCAAACUCCUACGGGAGGCAGCAGUGGGGAAUAUUGCACAAUGGGGGAAACCCUGAUGCAGCGACGCCGCGUGAGUGAAGAAGUAUUUCGGUAUGUAAAGCUCUAUCAGCAGGGAAGAAAAUGACGGUACCUGAGUAAGAAGCCCCGGCUAACUACGUG